ACUCACUGUUGUGGACCAGAAACUAUGUCACGUGGAUGUCAACUAUACUCCAGUACAAUAAUAUCAAGUCACUGAAGCCCAGCCUUGCAGAGUACCACCUGGGGGGCUCACAGUGUCACAGGCUGGAGAGGGGGAUCCUCAAGUACCGGGGUCUGGGCAGGUGCAGCUCUCCGGGCCACUGGGCUCUCGAGGCUGGUUCAGUCACCUGCCAGAGCCAGGGAGGGGGUCGGAGAGCCCUUGCUCUGGGCAGAGGUGAAGGGGGUAGUCUAGACAUUGCUCCCAAAUCCUGUGUAGGUGUGUGAGUUCUGCUGCUGCUGGCUAUGAGUCUUAGCAUGUCUCUGGGCCCCCUGGGCCUGACUCCUCACCACCUGGUCACUGUGAGGAUAGUGGAGAAAGGUGAGUUCACAAAGCGCCUGCCGCCUGGGGGCCUCAGUAAGGGUAGCUGCCACAAAGAAGGUGGAUGUGACGGGGUACCAUCUCCGGAGAACGGUCCAGGCCCACUGCUCCCCAAACCUGCCCCACCCUGCCCAGGUGCCAGCCGAAUGAAUAUGGUCAUUUUACAGUGGUCAUGCUUCAAAGAUUAGAACAAAAGAUUGAUUCCAACACAAAGGUUUUCAGAAGUGUAGGAGAUAGACAAUUGAUGGCUCCCUAGAUGGUUUGCAGCUUCAGUAGUUUAGUUACUGAUGAAAAUCCCACCAAAAUCUCCAAUUUGAGCCAUUUACGGCUCUUGCUCCAAAGUGGAAAAGAAGAUAUGUCAUACCAACUUGAGGGCGCCUGGGUGGCUCAGUCAGUUAAGCGUCUGCCUUCGGCUCGGGUUGUGAUCUCGGGGUUCUGGGAUGGAGCCCCUUGUCAGUCUCCCUGCUCACUGGGGAGUCUGCUUCUCCCUCCUCC